UACUGAGGGUCCAAGCGUUGUCCGGAAUCACUGGGUGUAAAGGGUGCGCAGGCGGGGCAGCAAGUCAGUGGUGAAAGCCCGUGGCUUAACCACGGACGUGCCAUUGAAACUGCUGCUCUUGAGUCCCGGAGAGGCUGCCGGAAUUCGUGGUGUAGCGGUGAAAUGCGUAGAUAUCACGAGGAACACCAGAGGCGAAAGCGGGCAGCUGGACGGGUACUGACGCUCAGGCACGAAAGCGUGGGGAGCAAACAGG
rnacentral:rRNA from 1 species